rnacentral:rRNA from 1 species
GACGAACGCUGGCGGCGUGCUUAACACAUGCAAGUCGAACGGAAAGGCCCUGCUUUUGUGGGGUGCUCGAGUGGCGAACGGGUGAGUAACACGUGAGUAACCUGCCCUUGACUUUGGGAUAACUUCAGGAAACUGGGGCUAAUACCGGAUAGGAGCUCCUGCUGCAUGGUGGGGGUUGGAAAGUUUCGGCGGUUGGGGAUGGACUCGCGGCUUAUCAGCUUGUUGGUGGGGUAGUGGCUUACCAAGGCUUUGACGGGUAGCCGGCCUGAGAGGGUGACCGGCCACAUUGGGACUGAGAUACGGCCCAGACUCCUACGGGAGGCAGCAGUGGGGAAUAUUGCACAAUGGGCGGAAGCCUGAUGCAGCAACGCCGCGUGCGGGAUGACGGCCUUCGGGUUGUAAACCGCUUUCGCCUGUGACGAAGCGUGAGUGACGGUAAUGGGUAAAGAAGCACCGGCUAACUACGUGCCAGCAGCCGCGGUGAUACGUAGGGUGCGAGCGUUGUCCGGAUUUAUUGGGCGUAAAGGGCUCGUAGGUGAUUGAUCGCGUCGGAAGUGUAAUCUUGGGGCUUAACCCUGAGCGUGCUUUCGAUACGGGUUGACUUGAGGAAGGUAGGGGAGAAUGGAAUUCCUGGUGGAGCGGUGGAAUGCGCAGAUAUCAGGAGGAACACCAGUGGCGAAGGCGGUUCUCUGGGCCUUUCCUGACGCUGAGGAGCGAAAGCGUGGGGAGCGAACAGGCUUAGAUACCCUGGUAGUCCACGCUGUAAACGGUGGGUACUAGGUGUGGGGUCCAUUCCACGGGUUCCGUGCCGUAGCAAACGCUUUAAGUACCCCGCCUGGGGAGUACGGCCGCAAGGCUAAAACUCAAAGGAAUUGACGGGGCCCCGCACAAGCGGCGGAGCAUGCGGAUUAAUUCGAUGCAACGCGUAGAACCUUACCUGGGUUUGACAUGGAUCGGGAGUGCUCAGAGAUGGGUGUGCCUCUUUUGGGGUCGGUUCACAGGUGGUGCAUGGCUGUCGUCAGCUCGUGUCGUGAGAUGUUGGGUUAAGUCCCGCAACGAGCGCAACCCUUGUUCACUGUUGCCAGCACGUUAUGGUGGGGACUCAGUGGAGACCGCCGGGGUCAACUCGGAGGAAGGUGGGGAUGACGUCAAGUCAUCAUGCCCCUUAUGUCCAGGGCUUCACGCAUGCUACAAUGGCUGGUACAGAGAGUGGCGAGCCUGUGAGGGUGAGCGAAUCUCGGAAAGCCGGUCUCAGUUCGGAUUGGGGUCUGCAACUCGACCUCAUGAAGUCGGAGUCGCUAGUAAUCGCAGAUCAGCAACGCUGCGGUGAAUACGUUCCCGGG